GGGGGAAUAUUGGACAAUGGGCGAAAGCCUGAUCCAGCCAUGCCGCGUGUGUGAAGAAGGCCCUCGGGUUGUAAAGCACUUUCAGUGGGGAAGAAAGCCUCGGGAUUAAUACUUCCGAGGAAGGACAUCACCCACAGAAGAAGCACCGGCUAACUCCGUGCCAGCAGCCGCGGUAAUACGGAGGGUGCGAGCGUUAAUCGGAAUUACUGGGCGUAAAGCGCGCGUAGGCGGUCUGAUCAGCCGGUUGUGAAAAGCCCCGGGCUCAACCUGGGAAGCGGCAUCCGGAACUGUCAGGCUAGAGUGCAGGAGAGGAAGGUAGAAUUCCCGGUGUAGCGGUG
rnacentral:rRNA from 1 species